GGAAAUAUUAGUCAGCUGACAGUAAUUACAGAAGCGUUUUAAGUUCUUUAUCUCUUCUACUGUAACAUCUGGUCCAAAGAGGGUCAGUUUUAUAGUAGAUAAAUAAAAAAAUCUAUAAAAUUAUAGUGGACCUUUACCUGAAGCAUAUCCAUCCCCAGUUCCCACUCCAGCUGGGAGAGACUCUGAGUCUUUGAUAGAAGGAGAGCUUGAUCUAGAAGAGUCUAAAAAUAGAAGGUAGUUAAAAGUUCAUGGCAUCAAUUUCUCCCAAACAUCUAUCAUUUGAACCCAAAACACUGAUACCUUUAUCUAAAAUAUAUACAUCUCCAGUUCCCUCUCCAGAACAUCCUGCUGGGAGAGACUCUGAGUCUUUGUUAGUGGGAGAGCUCGACCUAGAAAAGUCUGAAGCGUAUACGUCUCCAGAACAUCCUGCUGGGAGAGACUCAGAGUCUUUGUUAGUGGGAGAGCUCGACCUAGAACAGUCUAAAAACAGAAGAUAGAAAAGAUAAAGUUUGGAUUAAAGAAGCUCCCAUGAGCAACACAGGCUCUGUA
rnacentral:lncRNA from 1 species